rnacentral:rRNA from 1 species
CGGGAACAUAAUUCAUGGGGGAAGACGGAAGUUACGGUAACUCAAGAGGUAAGCCUUGGCAAAUUCGGUCCCACCAGCGGGGUUAUUAGGGGGGGGCCAGGCGUUUUCGGAAUUUUUGGGGGUAAAGGGGAGUGGAGGAGGAGUUAAAUCUCAGGGGAAAAUUCAGGCAUCAACCCUGAAGACCCGCCGGUAAUAGUCAUAGUAGAGGACGUGGGCAAGGCCGGGAAUACCCGUAAUGGCGCGGAAAAAUCUAGAGAUAGGGAGGAACACCAGGGGGGAAGGCGUCUUCCUGGACUCACCGGACGUUGAUGACACGGAAGGGGGGAGCAACCAGGAUUAGAUAUCCCCGUAGUGUACACGCCGUAAACUGAGCUCUAGGGGUGGGGG